rnacentral:rRNA from 1 species
AUUGAACGCUGGCGGCGUGCUUAACACAUGCAAGUCGAACGAAGUGGCGAACGGGUGAGUAACGCGUAAUCAACCUGCCCUUCAGAGGGGGACAACAGUUGGAAACGACUGCUAAUACCGCAUACUGAAGGAGGGGCUUGCGUCUGAUUGGCUAGUUGGAGGGGUAACGGCCCACCAAGGCGAUGAUAAGUAGCCGGGCGGGGAGGAUGAACGGCCACAUUGGGACUGAGGAAAGGCCCAGGCUCCUACGGGAGGCAGCAGGGGGGAAACGUCCGCAAUGGAAGAAAGUCUGACGGAGCAACGCCGCGUGAGUGAUGACGGCCUUCGGGUUGGAAAGCUCUGUUAAUCGGGACGCGGUACCGGAAUAGAAAGCCACGGCUAACUACGUGCCAGCAGCCGCGGUAAUAC